AUUUUAGUGGUCUUUCAGUGAUGGUGUGUCAAGACCAUCAUGUGAAAGCUGCUCUUCAUUGCCUCACAUCUGUUAUGAGAAAUAUUACUUUUCUAAUAAAUUUAACUUCUAGACUAAGGAUUAUGAUGUCAGUAAUAGCUUUUGUUUGUUUAUUUAUCUGUUUAUUCAUUCAUUUUCAGAAGUUACCCACCAUGAUACCGCUAAAUAUUUUGGAGCUAGUAGUACUGGAAGAAGUAACACAGACUAAGUUCACAUAUUUUCCAUCUCUUGACUUUAAAGACUGCAUUGCCUGGACAGGCAGAUCACAUCUUGGAAGCAGUUCUUCAUGCCUGUUAAGUAACAGGAAAUAGGUUGUGUCAGUUAAAUGAGCACUGAAAUCACAACACUACUCCGGUGCACUACUGAAGGCAUGGCACAGGUGCUUUGCUAUUUUGCUAUGGUAAAGCUGCCUAAGACAACUGAAGAGCAUGACCUACAUUUCAUCAAAUUAUGAUGCAUCCAGGUUUUGUUUCCCUUAACCACUACAACUUAAUAUGUGUUAUGUAAUUAAGAACUUGAACUGAAUUGGAUGUUGAAACUUGAGGCUUUCAAAUUCAACAAAACUACUACCUUUAUGCUCUAUUUGUCUGUGCCCUUGUAAGACUUCUGGACCAUUUCCUAUACUAUAUGAAUGGGCAUAAAGAUGUCAGACAUAUGAAACUUCUGCUCCUUUCAGGAGAAUCAGUGCAUGAAUAGUGGAAUGAGACCCAGAGAAAAGUCCUUGCUGAAAAAAACUGCAGUACAAGGCAAAGCAUGAAUUGGAGCUAUGAAAAGAUGGCUAGGAAAAAUGCAAAUUCUAAAGGGAAAAAAUGAUUAAUCAGUUUUUUUCUUCACAGAAUGACUUGCUUUUUUUUUGUAUUUUAAAAUGUCACAGUUCAGAAAUUAUUAAAAAUUGUUACAAAGUUCUCUAUCUGAUAAUGUAGCCAUGUAAUCAUAUUAAAUUACCGUGCUGGCUUAGCAAGCUGAAAAGUAUUUUUUGAAAAACUUGAGGUUUCAGAGAACCAUAAUUCACACUGACUGAAAUACAGCUCUAUUUCUUUUUGAACGGAGCUUUUCUCACAAGAUUCCUGGCACUGCUUGGGUCCAGCUGGAUCAGAAAUAAAUAAAGAAAAAACCCAAACA
rnacentral:lncRNA from 1 species